rfam:Corynebacterium epidermidicanis strain DSM 45586, complete genome.
GGAGUUUGUGUGUAUAAGGACUCCGCUCGAGUGGUUGAUUGUUCUGGUGUACUUCCCCGACAUCAGAGCCGUCCCAUUCGAGCGGAGCCCUAUACACACUAGGUCGCAGG